rnacentral:rRNA from 1 species
UACGAAGGGGGCUAGCGUUGCUUCGGAAUCACUGGGCGUAAAGGGUGCGUAGGCGGGUCUUUAAGUCAGGGGUGAAAUCCUGGAGCUCAACUCCAGAACUGCCUUUGAUACUGAAGAUCUUGAGUUCGGGAGAGGUGAGUGGAACUGCGAGUGUAGAGGUGAAAUUCGUAGAUAUUCGCAAGAACACCAGUGGCGAAGGCGGCUCACUGGCCCGAUACUGACGCUGAGGCACGAAAGCGUGGGGAGCAAACAGG